rnacentral:rRNA from 1 species
GACGAACGCUGGCGGCGUGCCUAAUACAUGCAAGUAGAACGCUGAAGAGAGGAGCUUGCUCUUCUUGGAUGAGUUGCGAACGGGUGAGUAACGCGUAGGUAACCUGCCUUGUAGCGGGGGAUAACUAUUGGAAACGAUAGCUAAUACCGCAUAACAAUGGAUGACCCAUGUCAUUUAUUUGAAAGGGGCAAAUGCUCCACUACAAGAUGGACCUGCGUUGUAUUAGCUAGUAGGUGAGGUAACGGCUCACCUAGGCGACGAUACAUAGCCGACCUGAGAGGGUGAUCGGCCACACUGGGCCUGGGACAAGGCCCAGACUCCUAAGGGAGGCAGCAGUAGGGAAUCUUCGGCAAUGGGGGCAACCCUGACCGAGCAACGCCGCGUGAGUGAAGAAGGUUUUCGGAUCGUAAAGCUCUGUUGUAAGUCAAGAACGAGUGUGAGAGUGGAAAGUUCACACUGUGACGGUAGCUUACCAGAAAGGGACGGCUAACUACGUG